rnacentral:miRNA from 1 species
AAAUCACACGCCUCCAA